CAUGCAGGCGGUUAGACAAGUCAGGUGUGAAAUCCCCGCGCUUAACGUGGGCAUUGCAUCUGAAACUGUUUAGCUAGAGUUCUGUAGAGGGGGGUAGAAUUCCAGGUGUAGCGGUGAAAUGCGUAGAGAUCUGGAGGAAUACCGAUUGCGAAGGCAGCCCCCUGGACAGAGACUGACGCUCAUAUGCGAAAGCGUGGGGAUCAAACAGGAUUAGAUUCCCCUGGUA
rnacentral:rRNA from 1 species